rnacentral:lncRNA from 10 species
GUGUUAGCCAGGAUGGUCUCAAUCUCCUGACCUUGUGAUCUGCCCGCCUUGGCCUGUCAAAGUGCUGGGAUUAUAGGCGUGAGCCACCACGCCUGGCCCUUGAAAGCUACUCUUAAACUUUUUAGCUAAAUGACAAAAAGUUUUAUCUUUUUGACCCCAUUGCCUUUCAACUUCUUAGAAAAUGCUCCAUUUCAAUCAAACAAGGUAGUUUGUUGCUCAUAGUACUAUUUUCCUGCUUAAAGACCUUCCGGAGCCCCUCUGCUCCCUGAAGCUUCCUCUGGUGGUCCUCUGAACCAGUAUCUUUUUUCCUGAAUUAACAAACUUUUUAGUAGAUUUCCAAAGCACUUUAGUGAGUACUGCAGCUCAUAAACUAGGAUUAAAAACAACAACAACAAAAUCUAUGCCUUUUUUAUUUCCUCCAGUUCGCUAGGCUUCCCCACAGCAGAAUGAUAGCAUCAAUAAUUUAUAAUAAUUCUCCAAGUAAACUAAUCAUGCAAACCACACUAAUAAAACAUUGUAAGCCUAGAACUGUGCUAAUGACAACACAGUGGUUACAAAAUUAAUGAUCUCCCUCAACUCUUUAUCCAAAAAUAUCCCACAGCACUUUACGGUUUUAAGAUAUCAAGAAGCAUUUUCCCUCUGCACAAGCAAUUUGCUGGCUUCCCCCAGAAAGCACAAAUGGCCAGGAUAGGAAGUGUAUGCUCAAAACUGGAAAAUUACAAAUAUGUGAACCAGCUCUUGAAAUUCCCCUUUGCACUGGAUUAGAGCCAGGAUAACGAGUCUUACACUUCCAGCCAUGCAUGAAAGAUGUUUGGGGCUUUUUCUAAUCCAAGACCCAGAGCACUUUUUCAUGUUGACUUCCAGGGGACAAGGCACUAAGUGAAAGCAUAUCUUGCCACAUGAUUGACUUUUCUAUUUUUUCUAUUUAUUUAAAUGUGUCAUCACAGCUAACCACAUCCUUCAUUUUAUCCCAUCCCAUUAAGAAAUACGAUAAGAGAUUUGAGCCCAUCAUUGGUUUUUUUUAAGUAAGGAUUUAAACAGUAGACAUGAAACAGAAGGAAUAGUCAGAAGGCCUGAAAUUGAGCACUAUUCAAACACAGGUAAAAAGCAUGAAAUACCACCAAAUCUGACCACCCAUCGUACAUUCACUUAUCAAUAUGAAAACACUUCAUCCACGGUAAAGGGCUUUGAAAAUGUAAGUAUUAUUUUAAAGGCUAUUAUAAAAUGUCCAAUGAGGACUUUGAGCUAAGCAUAUUGUAUAGCACUAAAUGUAGUGUUGAUAGGCACUCGGGAUUUUUAAACAUCGUUACUCAUUGUUAUUAAGAUGAAUAAUUAGUGUAGCAGCUGUUGGUGAGCCAAACACUGAUCUUUGAUAUGGACUUACCAGGAAGAAAUGCCCAUUUUCUCAGCCUCUUUCCUCUCCCCUCCCCUUGGACCCCAAAGCCACACAGGAUGAGCAAAGCAGAUCAUGUGUUUGAUGCAUUGUAUAUGUGCAAACCAGACUGUGUACACAUCAGUCUUCUUUGAGGAACUUGCACUAAGAGGAUGGUAAGGAAGGAGCAAAGCUGACUGUCCGAGUUGACUUCCAAUCAGGAUAUCCCAGCUGGAAGCAAGCCAGCUUCCGCUCCUUUGAAUAAAGCAAGAAAGACGUGAUCUUUCUUAUAAAUGAAUGAACAAUACCAUCGGUGUGACCCCUUUUAUAGGCUUCAGCCUUCAGUGUGACUCUAAGUCAUUUGGUAACAAGUGAAUUCCCGAAAAAGACUGGUCUGGCAAUAAAGUCUGAAUGUUCCAAAAGGCAGAAUUAAACUGCCUAGUCAUUCCUCUUCAAAAAUCCACUUUUAAGUAUUUCCUUUAACUUCAAUGAUUACCCUCAGGAGUAGUGAGAAUCUAGGCAUCUCAUAUACUGCUGACAAAAGAAUGUGUGGGUGAGACCUCUUGGUGUCUUCGCAUUACUUAACAACAAAAGCUUUCAGAAUGUCCUUAACCUCUAACAUAGAAAUCCUGCUUCUAGGAAUUUAUCCUAAGUAAACAUUUGUAACGUCACAAACACUUGGCUACAAGAACAAUUUUUAUAAAGCAAUUUAUAAGAAAGAAAAAAUGCAAGACAUCUUACAUACACAGUAGUAAUAGCCAGUUACAUUCACUAUAGUACACUCAUAUGAUCACAUAUUUUGCAGUUAUUAAAGAAUGAGUAUGCUUAUUAAGAGUAAUAAGAGCAAAUAUGUUUUCAUUUUGGUAAAUUUAUAUUUGUAUUGGUUGUGUGUAGGAGAGAAAGACACACACACACACACACUUUGAGAGUCUAAACCCAAAAAAUAUAACCAGAGUUAUUUCUGAAUGCUAAGACUGUGUUUCAUCUUUUUCUACUUGCUUAUCUACAUUUUCCCAAUGAAUAUCUUUUAUUUUAAUAACAAUUUCUUAGUUAUGUUAAAAACCUGCAACCCGGAGCAGUACAAGAUAGUUUUUGUUUUUGUUUAGUUUGGUUAUUGUCAUUGUUAAUAUUUUGUUUCUGGUUCUUAUGUAUGCUUUUUACUUGUUUGUUUGUUGUUUUAAAGGCAAGGUUAUUAAGGUAUGUUUAGCUCAUGGACAAAAAGAGUUCUCCCAGCACAUUUCCAGAUUAUCCUGCUUCGUAUGCCUUUCCCUGCUGACCUGAUGAAAGAGUUCUCAACUGCACUGGGGAAGAAAAAUAACUUCAGGAUGGAGAGUCAGAAUAACCCAGAUGAGGUUUACAGCCUGGGCAAGGGUGAAGGUUGUUGUGUGGACCCUUAUGAACACAACUGAAGUUCCGGACUGGUUGGUAGUUAGCACACACCCUCCAGUUUCCAUAAUUGUACUUCCUUAGGCCACUGGUGUGAGAUCCUUACUCUACCCCUUCUCCAUGGGGUCAUGAAGUUAAUCCUGUUAAAACACAUACACAAGAUUAAAUCAUCUUUUCAUUUUUCAGACAAGCACAUAACACCACCCUGACACUGAGCAGAUCAUCUCCAGCUCCCUUCAUAUUAUGCUACUGGAGACCAAUCUUUAUAACCAGAAGAGGAGGAGGAGGAGUUAUUCUAACCUGUCGUUUUCUUCCUUUACAUCACUUUUUCCUUUUAGGUCAUAUCCAAAAAAGGAAGCUUCACCUGUGAAUUCUUUCUAUGAGAUCCACUACUGGGAAAUUCUGGGAGCUCCAGGGAAGAGCUGCACAGCACAUUUCUGGCUAAAUAAAUAAGGUUUUCUAUCUUGAUUUAUUCAUUCAGCGAGUACAUGUCUCCAUGUCAAAGGCUGACCUAAGAAUCUUCCUUAUAAAAAUUCAGCAA